rnacentral:lncRNA from 1 species
UUUGUUCUAGUGACCCUGACGGGCGAACUCCAUCUUUAACUCAGAAAAACCUGUCUUUCUGUGUCUCCUAUUUGGUUUCGACCUCCUGAAGUGCUCGAGGUCUCUCCCCCUCUCCGGGCUGCUCACGCCCCUUCCCUUCCUUUCCCCUUCAUCUCUUUUUCAGACCUUUGGCUUCUAUCUCAGUAGCUGGACAUUUCUCAGGCUCCUGGUCUACUCAGCCAGCAACGCUCCAUUUUUUCAACAUCAGAUAUGGCAGCAAGCUCUCUGGUGGUUCACCGUCAAGAAACUAGAUGGAUUCUGACAUGUGAUCUAAGUUCCUCUAAGCGCCUUCUGGACUCCAUGAAAUUUAAAGGCUAGGAAGUAUUCCACAUGUAUCCCUCUGAGUCUGGCUUACUUCAGCUAACAUGACAACCUCCAGUUCCAUCCAUGUGCAUGCAGAUUCCAUCAUUUCAUUCUUUACCGAUGAAUAGUUUGUGUAUAUCCCUCUUUCAGCUGCCGUCUGUCGGUUGAUGGAUGUCCAGGCGGAUUCCAUAUCUUGUCUGUAGUGAACGGCAUUGCAGUAAAUACAAGUGUGCAGGUGUCUACAG